rnacentral:rRNA from 1 species
CCUACGGGUGGCUGCAGUUUCGAAUCAUUCACAAUGGGCGAAAGCCUGAUGGUGCGACGCCGCGUGAGGGAUGAAGGCCUUCGGGUUGUAAACCUCUGUCACUGGGGAAGAAACGCUUCAAGUUAAUAGCUUGAAGCCUGACUUAACCCAGAGAGGAAGCAGUGGCUAACUCUGUGCCAGCAGCCGCGGUAAUACAGAGACUGCAGGCGGUAUUCGGAGUCCAGGCGCGUAAAGGUGGCGCAUGCGGCCGCCCGGGGCUUAACCUCGGAAUUGCGCCUAAAACUACACGGCUAGAGCAUUGGAGAGGGUAGCGGAAUUCACGGUGUAGCAGUGAAAUGCGUAGAUAUCGUGAGGAACACCAGAGGCGAAGGCGGCUACCUGGACAAUUGCUGACGCUCAGGCACGAAAGCGUGGGGAGCAAAAGGGAUUAGAUACCCUGGUAGUC